GACGAACGCUGGCGGCGUGCUUAACACAUGCAAGUCGAACGGAAAGGCCCUGCUUUUGUGGGGUUCUCGAGUGGCGAACGGGUGAGUAACACGUGAGUAACCUGCCCUUGACUUUGGGAUAACUUCAGGAAACUGGGGCUAAUACCGGAUAGGAGCUCCUGCUGCAUGGUGGUGGUUGGAAAGUGUCGGCGUUUGUGGAUGGACUCGCGGGUUACCAGCUUGAUUGUGGGGUAGUGGCGUACGAAGGCUUUGACGGGUAGCCGGCCUGAGCGGGUGACCGGCGACAAUGGGACUAAGAUAGGGACCAGAAUGCUACGGGAGGCAGCAGUCGGGAAUAUUGCGCAAUGGGCGGAAGUCUGAUGCAGAAGCGCCGGGUGCGGGAUGACGGCCUUCGGGUUGUAAACAGCUUUCGACUGUGCCGAAGAGUGAGUGACGGUAAUGGGUAAAGAAGCAACGGCUAACUACGUG
rnacentral:rRNA from 1 species